UGAGCUUGGUGCACAUUAGGCCACGAUAAAUGCCGGCAAAUGAAUGAACAGCACAGUGGAAAGCAGGCUGGACAGUGAUUAAGACUCCUUAUCCAGUGCUCUCUUUACUUCCUCUGGCUUUUAACUGGGCUGGGGACUGGCUGGUGGUUCCAAACUUGGAUGGAGAAGAGGAGUGUCCUUUUUGGGAUUCUCUUAAACCCACCAUGCUGCUCUCCCGCUGUGACCCCCAAGCCCCCGGCUCACCUCUAGGAUCUGGUGGAAGCCGAUCCCUUAGAGACAUCGUCUAGAGGUGGAACCUCAGAAUUAAAUCUCUACUGAAGAGGAGAAGAAUAGGAAGCCCCUGGGUACAGCCAGAAGUGGAGAUCUCUUAGGGCCGCUCUCUCAGGACAGAUCCAGGAGCAGGGAGAGCCACAGUGGGAUCGUUACCUCUGAACGUUUACAGAGAAGAGGAAACAGAGUCAUUUAAAAGCAUGAACGACGGCAGUCUCCACAUUCAGGGGAAUGGAGAACUUUGUCUCGGGAACAAAUCACUCCCUGUUGGCAGGGGCUCCGAAGAUGAAAAUGCACAAGCCGUCUACAGCGGGAGAUGGGAUGACGUGGCCCCAGGCUUGCUCCUAGAGGUGGGGCCACCGGGAACACCACGGCCACAGAGGCAGAUGGACCCAGGUGGUUCCAGGGGUGACUCAGACCCCGUGAGCUGUGCUGCCACUGCUGAUGUGAAAUGGGCAACAGGUCUUGGCAAAAUUUCGAACAAAACAACGGAAAAUCUUCUCUCUCUGUGUACAUGAGAGUUGCAUU